GGGGCUGAUUCUGGAUUCGACGGGAUUUGCGAAACCCAAGGUGCAUGCCGAGGGGCGGUUGGCCUCGUAAAAAGCCGCAAAAAAUAGUCGCAAACGACGAAAACUACGCUUUAGCAGCUUAAUAACCUGCUUAGAGCCCUCUCUCCCUAGCCUCCGCUCUUAGGACGGGGAUCAAGAGAGGUCAAACCCAAAAGAGAUCGCGUGGAAGCUCUGCCUGGGGUUGAAGCGUUAAAACUUAAUCAGGCUAGUUUGUUAGUGGCGUGUCCGUCCGCAGCUGGCAAGCGAAUGUAAAGACUGACUAAGCAUGUAGUACCGAGGAUGUAGGAAUUUCGGACGCGGGUUCAACUCCCGCCAGCUCCACCA
rnacentral:tmRNA from 1 species